AAUGUUGCAAAAUUUGAUGUGAAGGGAACCUUCAGGCAUUUCUAUAGCAACCUACCAUUGGUCAUGUCAGUUUCCAUAGCAACCUACCACUGGCCAUGUCAGUUUCCAUAGCAACAUACCACUGGUCAUGUCAGUUUCUAUAGCAACCUGAUUACCAGAUAUGUUGGUUUCCAUGGUUAUAAGUUGUCAUUAUGAUUAUAAUCUAAUAGUACUGCUGGUUGCCAUGGUAACCUUCCUUCUUAUGAAAGUGGAAGAAACUUGCCAUACUUUGUUAUUUUGUAAAUAUUUUGUUGUUAAUUAAAUAUAUUAAUGUCAGAGGA